CUGUAAUGGGCGCAAUUACCCUAAUGACGCCCCUCGUGGCGUCCUCCCAUCCUCUCGGGCCCGGGCUCCCCCCGCGGCCCGCCACGCCAAGCGCGGGGUUUCACCCUCCUUCGCACGUGGAGUAGGGAUCCGAGGCUCGAAGCCAGUGGGAGCCUCUUCCAAACCCUUACAGCCGGGGGACUUCCACAUCCCGCAGGUGAAGAAUGGGAGGCUCAGAGAAGGAAGUGACUCAUAGGAAGUCACGCAGCAAGUCCACCUAAAAACCGGAGGCCUGAGUUCCAGCUCUGGGCUCUUACUCCUCAUUCCGAUACCUCCCCUGCAAGGUUCUUCAAGGACCCUUGAAAAGAUUGGAAGACUCUCACCCUCUCUGAGUUCUAUCUUUCCACCUGUGAGGUAGGGGAACCCAGUGAGACCUUCUUCCAGUCUCAACCAGCAU